CCUACGGGAGGCAGCAGUGAGGAAUAUUGGUCAAUGGACGAAAGUCUGAACCAGCCAAGUCGCGUGAAGGAUGAAUGCCCUAUGGGUCGUAAACUUCUUUUAUAAGGGAAUAAAACGAGGCACGUGUGCCUUUUUGCAUGUACUUUAUGAAUAAGGAUCGGCUAACUCCGUGCCAGCAGCCGCGGUAAUACGGAGGAUCCGAGCGUUAUCCGGAUUUAUUGGGUUUAAAGGGUGCGUAGGUGGGUUGUUAAGUCAGUUGUGAAAGUCUGUGGCUCAACCGUAAAAUUGCAGUUGAUACUGGCAGUCUUGAGUACAGUUGAGGUAGGCGGAAUUCGUGGUGUAGCGGUGAAAUGCUUAGAUAUCACGAAGAACCCCGAUUGCGAAGGCAGCUUACUAAGCUGUGACUGACGUUGAUGCUCGAAAGUGUGGGGAUCAAACAGGAUUAGAUACCCGAGUAGUC
rnacentral:rRNA from 1 species